AAAUGUGAGCGAGAUCUGGCUAUGACAUGUGUCACCCACUGAUCAUAGGAUUGGUUCAGCUUAUCUGGCUGGCUAAGCAGGUGUCCCCAUCUUCCCUGGACACUCCCUGAGCCUCCUAUCUCUCUCUAGCUGUGUGUUUAGCUGAAGAGGAGGACAGCUCCUGACAGAGGAGGGCCAGCCUUCAUGGCUGUGAGAGCAGCUGUGCUCCCCUGCUGGGACCUCCACACAGUCUCAAAGAGUCUGAAUGACCAGGAGCCCUGAAGAAUCCUCCAGAUGGGAUGCUUAAUACCACGGUUUCACUUCCCUCCUUU
rfam:Mesocricetus auratus contig026280, whole genome shotgun sequence.